CCUACGGGUGGCUGCAGUGGGGAAUUUUGGACAAUGGGCGCAAGUCUGAUCCAGCCAUGCCGCGUGCGGGAAGAAGGCCUUCGGGUUGUAAACCGCUUUUGUCAGGGAAGAAAAGGUUCUGGUUAAUACCUGGGACUCAUGACGGUACCUGAAGAAUAAGCACCGGCUAACUACGUGCCAGCAGCCGCGGUAAUACGUAGGGUGCAAGCGUUAAUCGGAAUUACUGGGCGUAAAGCGUGCGCAGGCGGUUAUGCAAGACAGAUGUGAAAUCCCCGGGCUCAACCUGGGAACUGCAUUUGUGACUGCAUGGCUAGAGUACGGUAGAGGGGGAUGGAAUUCCGCGUGUAGCAGUGAAAUGCGUAGAUAUGCGGAGGAACACCGAUGGCGAAGGCAAUCCCCUGGACCUGUACUGACGCUCAUGCACGAAAGCGUGGGGAGCAAACAGGAUUAGAUACCCGAGUAGUC
rnacentral:rRNA from 1 species